rnacentral:rRNA from 1 species
GAUGAACGCUGGCGGCGUGCCUAAUACAUGCAAGUCGAGCGAACAGACGAGGAGCUUGCUCCUCUGACGUUAGCGGCGGACGGGUGAGUAACACGUGGAUAACCUACCUAUAAGACUGGGAUAACUUCGGGAAACCGGAGCUAAUACCGGAUAAUAUAUUGAACCGCAUGGUUCAAUAGUGAAAGACGGUUUUGCUGUCACUUAUAGAUGGAUCCGCGCCGCAUUAGCUAGUUGGUAAGGUAACGGCUUACCAAGGCAACGAUGCGUAGCCGACCUGAGAGGGUGAUCGGCCACACUGGAACUGAGACACGGUCCAGACUCCUACGGGAGGCAGCAGUAGGGAAUCUUCCGACAUGGGCGAAAGCUUGACGGAGCAACGCCGCGUGAGUGAUGAAGGUCUUCGGCUCGUGAAACUCUGCUAUUAGGGAAGAACACAUGUGUAAGUAACUAUGCACGUCUUGACGGUACCUACUCAGAAAGCCACGGCUAACUACGUG